ACUUCAGGACGGGGACAACAGUUGGAAACGACUGCUAAUACCCGAUGUGCCGGGAGGUGAAACCUAAUUGGCCUGAAGAAGAGCUUGCGUCUGAUUAGCUAGUUGGUGGGGUAAGAGCCUACCAAGGCGACGAUCAGUAGCUGGUCUGAGAGGAUGAGCAGCCACACUGGGACUUAGACACGGCCCAGACUCCUACGGGAGGCAGCAGUGGGGAAUUUUCCGCAAUGGGCGAAAGCCUGACGGAGCAACGCCGCGUGAGGGAGGAAGGUCUUUGGAUUGUAAACCUCUUUUCUCAAGGAAGAAGUUCUGACGGUACUUGAGGAAUCAGCCUCGGCUAACUCCGUGCCAGCAGCCGCGGUAAUACGGGGGAGGCAAGCGUUAUCCGGAAUUAUUGGGCGUAAAGCGUCCGCAGGUAGUCAGCCAAGUCUGCUGUCAAAUCAGGUUGCUUAACGACCUA
rnacentral:rRNA from 1 species